rnacentral:rRNA from 1 species
GACGAACGCUGGCGGCGUGCUUAACACAUGCAAGUCGAACGGAAAGGCCCCAGCUUGCUGGGGUACUCGAGUGGCGAACGGGUGAGUAACACGUGGGUGAUCUGCCCUGCACUCUGGGAUAAGCCUGGGAAACUGGGUCUAAUACCGGAUAGGACCGUGCUUUAGUGUGUUCGGUGGAAAGUUUUUCGGUGCAGGAUGAGCCCGCGGCCUAUCAGCUUGUUGGUGGGGUAAUGGCCUACCAAGGCGGCGACGGGUAGCCGGCCUGAGAGGGUGUACGGCCACAUUGGGACUGAGACACGGCCCAGACUCCUACGGGAGGCAGCAGUGGGGAAUAUUGCACAAUGGGCGCAAGCCUGAUGCAGCGACGCCGCGUGGGGGAUGACGGCCUUCGGGUUGUAAACCCCUUUCGGCAGGGACGAAGCGUUUGUGACGGUACCUGCAUAAGAAGCACCGGCUAACUACGUG